rnacentral:rRNA from 1 species
CGCACACUGACGUUCAGGCGCGAAAGCCUGGGUAGCAGACAGGAUUAGAUACCCUGGUAGUCCACGCCAUAAACGAUGGGUACUAGGUGUCGGGGGUAUCGACCCCUCCGGUGCCGCAGUUAACGCACUAAGUACCCCGCCUGGGGAUCAUGGUCGCAAGGCUGAAACUCAAAGGAAUUGACGGGGCCCCGCACAAGCGGUGGAGCAUGUGGUUUAAUUCGACGCAACGCGAAGAACCUUACCUGGGCUUGACAUGCUUGGGACAGCGCUGGAAACAGCGUCUCUCCUUCGGGAGCCCUUGCACAGGUGCUGCAUGGCUGUCGUCAGCUCGUGUCGUGAGAUGUUGGGUUAAGUCCCGCAACGAGCGCAACCCUCGUUACUAGUUGCCAUCAGUUCGGCUGGGCACUCUAGUGAGACUGCCGGUGAUAAACCGGAGGAAGGUGAGGAUGAUGUCAAGUCAUCAUGGCCCUUACGCCCAGGGCUACACACGUGCUACAAUGGUCGGCACAAAGGGUCGCUAAGCCGCGAGGUGGAGCUAAUCCCAAAAAGCCGGCCUCAGUUCGGAUUGGAGUCUGCAACCCGACUCCAUGAAGGCGGAAUCGCUAGUAAUCGCGGAUCAGCAUGCCGCGCUGAAUAUGUUCCCGGGGCUUGUACACACCGCCCGUCAUAUCACCCGAGUCGGGGAUACCCGAAGUCCGUGACCCAACCAUUUGGAGGGAGCGGCCGAAG